rnacentral:ncRNA from 2 species
UCAGAAAUAAUAGCGUUCGGUGCUGUUUGAUCAGGGAAUAUAUUUCCAUAUCCUGAUUGAAACAGGUAAAAGGGAAACAGGUGCAAGACCUGUACGAACUCGUCACUGUGAGCAGAGAUGCGGUCUUCUUAGAAAUUAGAUUUCAGAAGACCGCCCCUAUACAGACAAGUGUGGAGAGUCCGCACAUCCACUGGGAGACCGGGAAGGUGUUCUGUAUAGAAGAUCUGUAAGUCAGGAAACCUGCCGGCCGUUGGUGCGGGGA